UACGUAGGGGGCGAGCGUUGUCCGGAAUUAUUGGGCGUAAAGAGCGUGUAGGCGGUUCGGUAAGUCUGCCGUGAAAUCCUGGGGCUCAACCCCGGGCGUGCGGCGGAUACUGCCGGGCUAGAGGGUGGUAGAGGCGAGUGGAAUUCCCGGUGUAGCGGUGAAAUGCGCAGAUAUCAGGAGGAACACCAAUUGCGAAGGCAGCUCGCUGGGACGUUACUGACGCUGAGACGCGAAAGCGUGGGGAGCAAACAGG
rnacentral:rRNA from 1 species